GAUUAAGUUAUUAAGGGCGCACGGUGGAUGCCUUGGCACUAGAAGCCGAUGAAGGACGUUACUAACGACGAUAUGCUUUGGGGAGCUGUAAGUAAGCUUUGAUCCAGAGAUUUCCGAAUGGGGAAACCCAGCAUGAGUUAUGUCAUGUUAUCGAUAUGUGAAUACAUAGCAUAUCAGAAGGCACACCCGGAGAACUGAAACAUCUUAGUACCCGGAGGAAGAGAAAGAAAAUUCGAUUCCCUUAGUAGCGGCGAGCGAAACGGGAAGAGCCCAAACCAACAAGCUUGCUUGUUGGGGUUGUAGGACACUCUAUACGGAGUUACAAAGGACGACAUUAGACGAAUCAUCUGGAAAGAUGAAUCAAAGAAGGUAAUAAUCCUGUAGUCGAAAAUGUUGUCUCUCUUGAGUGGAUCCUGAGUACGACGGAGCACGUGAAAUUCCGUCGGAAUCUGGGAGGACCAUCUCCUAAGGCUAAAUACUCUCUAGUGACCGAUAGUGAACCAGUACCGUGAGGGAAAGGUGAAAAGCACCCCGGAAGGGGAGUGAAAUAGAACCUGAAACCGUGUGCUUACAAGUAGUCAGAGCCCGUUAAUGGGUGAUGGCGUGCCUUUGUAGAAUGAACCGGCGAGUUACGAUUUGAUGCAAGGUUAAGCAGUAAAUGUGGAGCCGUAGCGAAAGCGAGUCUGAAUAGGGCGUUUAGUAUUUGGUCGUAGACCCGAAACCAGGUGAUCUACCCUUGGUCAGGUUGAAGUUCAGGUAACACUGAAUGGAGGACCGAACCGACUUACGUUGAAAAGUGAGCGGAUGAACUGAGGGUAGCGGAGAAAUUCCAAUCGAACCUGGAGAUAGCUGGUUCUCUCCGAAAUAGCUUUAGGGCUAGCCUCAAGUGAUGAUUAUUGGAGGUAGAGCACUGUUUGGACGAGGGGCCCCUCUCGGGUUACCGAAUUCAGACAAACUCCGAAUGCCAAUUAAUUUAACUUGGGAGUCAGAACAUGGGUGAUAAGGUCCGUGUUCGAAAGGGAAACAGCCCAGACCACCAGCUAAGGUCCCAAAAUAUAUGUUAAGUGGAAAAGGAUGUGGCGUUGCCCAGACAACUAGGAUGUUGGCUUAGAAGCAGCCAUCAUUUAAAGAGUGCGUAAUAGCUCACUAGUCGAGUGACACUGCGCCGAAAAUGUACCGGGGCUAAACAUAUUACCGAAGCUGUGGAUUGUCCUUUGGACAAUGGUAGGAGAGCGUUCUAAGGGCGUUGAAGCAUGAUCGUAAGGACAUGUGGAGCGCUUAGAAGUGAGAAUGCCGGUGUGAGUAGCGAAAGACGGGUGAGAAUCCCGUCCACCGAUUGACUAAGGUUUCCAGAGGAAGGCUCGUCCGCUCUGGGUUAGUCGGGUCCUAAGCUGAGGCCGACAGGCGUAGGCGAUGGAUAACAGGUUGAUAUUCCUGUACCACCUAUAAUCGUUUUAAUCGAUGGGGGGACGCAGUAGGAUAGGCGAAGCGUGCGAUUGGAUUGCACGUCUAAGCAGUAAGGCUGAGUAUUAGGCAAAUCCGGUACUCGUUAAGGCUGAGCUGUGAUGGGGAGAAGACAUUGUGUCUUCGAGUCGUUGAUUUCACACUGCCGAGAAAAGCCUCUAGAUAGAAAAUAGGUGCCCGUACCGCAAACCGACACAGGUAGUCAAGAUGAGAAUUCUAAGGUGAGCGAGCGAACUCUCGUUAAGGAACUCGGCAAAAUGACCCCGUAACUUCGGGAGAAGGGGUGCUCUUUAGGGUUAACGCCCAGAAGAGCCGCAGUGAAUAGGCCCAAGCGACUGUUUAUCAAAAACACAGGUCUCUGCUAAACCGUAAGGUGAUGUAUAGGGGCUGACGCCUGCCCGGUGCUGGAAGGUUAAGAGGAGUGGUUAGCUUCUGCGAAGCUACGAAUCGAAGCCCCAGUAAACGGCGGCCGUAACUAUAACGGUCCUAAGGUAGCGAAAUUCCUUGUCGGGUAAGUUCCGACCCGCACGAAAGGCGUAACGAUUUGGGCACUGUCUCAACGAGAGACUCGGUGAAAUCAUAGUACCUGUGAAGAUGCAGGUUACCCGCGACAGGACGGAAAGACCCCGUGGAGCUUUACUGUAGCCUGAUAUUGAAAUUCGGCACAGCUUGUACAGGAUAGGUAGGAGCCUUUGAAACGUGAGCGCUAGCUUACGUGGAGGCGCUGGUGGGAUACUACCCUAGCUGUGUUGGCUUUCUAACCCGCACCACUUAUCGUGGUGGGAGACAGUGUCAGGCGGGCAGUUUGACUGGGGCGGUCGCCUCCUAAAAGGUAACGGAGGCGCUCAAAGGUUCCCUCAGAAUGGUUGGAAAUCAUUCAUAGAGUGUAAAGGCAUAAGGGAGCUUGACUGCGAGACCUACAAGUCGAGCAGGGUCGAAAGACGGACUUAGUGAUCCGGUGGUUCCGCAUGGAAGGGCCAUCGCUCAACGGAUAAAAGCUACCCCGGGGAUAACAGGCUUAUCUCCCCCAAGAGUUCACAUCGACGGGGAGGUUUGGCACCUCGAUGUCGGCUCAUCGCAUCCUGGGGCUGUAGUCGGUCCCAAGGGUUGGGCUGUUCGCCCAUUAAAGCGGUACGCGAGCUGGGUUCAGAACGUCGUGAGACAGUUCGGUCCCUAUCCGUCGUGGGCGUAGGAAAUUUGAGAGGAGCUGUCCUUAGUACGAGAGGACCGGGAUGGACAUACCUCUGGUGUACCAGUUGUCGUGCCAACGGCAUAGCUGGGUAGCUAUGUGUGGACGGGAUAAGUGCUGAAAGCAUCUAAGCAUGAAGCCCCCCUCAAGAUGAGAUUUCCCAACUUCGGUUAUAAGAUCCCUCAAAGAUGAUGAGAUUAAUAGGUUCGAGGUGGAAGCAUGGUGACAUGUGGAGCUGACGAAUACUAAUCGAUCGAAGACUUAAUCAA
rnacentral:rRNA from 1 species